UGGGGAAUAUUGCACAAUGGGCGCAAGCCUGAUGCAGCCAUGCCGCGUGUAUGAAGAAGGCCUUCGGGUUGUAAAGUACUUUCAGCGGGGAGGAAGGUGUUGAGGCUAAUCACCUCAGCAAUUGACGUUACCCGCAGAAGAAGCACCGGCUAACUCCGUGCCAGCAGCCGCGGUAAUACGGAGGGUGCAAGCGUUAAUCGGAAUUACUGGGCGUAAAGCGCACGCAGGCGGUCUGUCAAGUCGGAUGUGAAAUCCCCGGGCUCAACCUGGGAACUGCAUUCGAAACUGGCAGGCUAGAGUCUUGUAGAGGGGGGUAGAAUUCCAGGUGUAGCGGUGAAAUGCGUAGAGAUCUGGAGGAAUACCGGUGGCGAAGGCGGCCCCCUGGACAAAGACUGACGCUCAGGUGCGAAAGCGUGGGGAGCAAACA
rnacentral:rRNA from 1 species